GAUCCUGGCUCAGGAUGAACGCUAGCGACAGGCCUAACACAUGCAAGUCGAGGGGCAUCAGGUAUCAGCUUGCUGAUACGCCGGCGACCGGCGCACGGGUGAGUAACGCGUAUGCAAUCUGCCUGUAACAGUGGGAUAACCCGGAGAAAUCCGGCCUAAUACCCCAUAAGGAUGUCUGUCCGCAUGGGACGGUCAUCUAAAGGUUUUCCGGUUACAGAUGGGCAUGCGUUCCA
rnacentral:rRNA from 1 species